AUUGAACGCUGGCGGCAGGCCUAACACAUGCAAGUCGAACGGAGUGGCGGACGGGUGAGUAAUGUCUGGGAAACUGCCUGAUGGAGGGGGAUAACGUCUGGAAACGGGAGCUAAUACCGCAUACUAUCAGAUGAGCCUAGGUCGGAUUAGCUAGUGGGUGGGGUAAAGGCCUACCAAGGCGACGAUCCGUAACUGGUCUGAGAGGAUGAUCAGCCACACUGGAACUGAGACACGGUCCAGACUCCUACGGGAGGCAGCAGUGGGGAAUAUUGCACAAUGGGCGAAAGCCUGAUGCAGCCAUGCCGCGUGUGUGAAGAAGGUCUUCGGAUUGUAAAGCACUUUAAGUUGGGAGGCGUUACCAACAGAAUAAGCACCGGCUAACUCCGUGCCAGCAGCCGCGGUAAUAC
rnacentral:rRNA from 1 species